UACAGAGGGGGCAAGCGUUGUUCGGAAUUACUGGGCGUAAAGGGCGCGUAGGCGGCCUUCUAAGUCGAACGUGAAAUCCCCGGGCUCAACCCGGGAACUGCGUCCGAUACUGGAAGGCUUGAAUCCGGGAGAGGGAUGCGGAAUUCCAGGUGUAGCGGUGAAAUGCGUAGAUAUCAGGAGGAACACCGAUGGCGAAGGCAGCUCGCUGGGACGGUACUGACGCUGAGGCGCGAAAGCGUGGGGAGCAAACAGG
rnacentral:rRNA from 1 species